rnacentral:rRNA from 1 species
CGGUCACGUUCGUUGCAAUGGAUCUUUUUAUGCAGCACCAAUAAAGACAAGCAGCACAAAGAAGUUGAAAAAGAAAAGAAAGUGGCGUCACUUAUCAGCACAUACACUUCAAACGUCCCUGUGUGAAACGCAAUUAAGCAGACAGAUCACUCCACGAACUAAGAACGGCCAUGCACCACCUAUCACACAAUCAUGAAAGGACUAGCAUCUUUAUCGCAUGAACAGCAAAAGAAACGAGAGCAAAAAAGCUCUGCCCUAUGCUGCCAUGCUAAAAACCUGUCAAUCCUCAGUGUGUCCGGACCCGGUAAGAUUUCCCGCGUUGAGUCAAAUUAAGCCACAUGCUCCAC